rnacentral:rRNA from 1 species
GACGAACGCUGGCGGCGUGCUUAACACAUGCAAGUCGAACGGAAAGGCCAGUGCUUGCACUGGUACUCGAGUGGCGAACGGGUGAGUAACACGUGGGUGAUCUGCCUUGCACUCUGGGAUAAGCUUGGGAAACUGGGUCUAAUACCGGAUAUGAACUGCCUUUAGUGUGGUGGUUGGAAAGUUUUUUCGGUGCAAGAUGAGCUCGCGGCCUAUCAGCUUGUUGGUGGGGUAAUGGCCUACCAAGGCGUCGACGGGUAGCCGGCCUGAGAGGGUGUACGGCCACAUUGGGACUGAGAUACGGCCCAGACUCCUACGGGAGGCAGCAGUGGGGAAUAUUGCACAAUGGGCGGAAGCCUGAUGCAGCGACGCCGCGUGGGGGAUGACGGCCUUCGGGUUGUAAACUCCUUUCGACAGGGACGAAGCGUAAGUGACGGUACCUGUAGAAGAAGCACCGGCUAACUACGUG